GACGAACGCUGGCGGCGUGCUUAACACAUGCAAGUCGAGCGGAAAGGCCCCAGCUUGCUGGGGUACUCGAGUGGCGAACGGGUGAGUAACACGUGGGUGAUCUGCCCUGCACUCUGGGAUAAGCCUGGGAAACUGGGUCUAAUACCGGAUAGGACCGUGCUUUAGUGUGUGCGGUGGAAAGUUUUUCGGUGCAGGAUGAGCCCGCGGCCUAUCAGCUUGUUGGUGGGGUAAUGGCCUACCAAGGCGGCGACGGGUAGCCGGCCUGAGAGGGUGUACGGCCACAUUGGGACUGAGACACGGCCCAGACUCCUACGGGAGGCAGCAGUGGGGAAUAUUGCACAAUGGGCGCAAGCCUGAUGCAGCGACGCCGCGUGGGGGAUGACGGCCUUCGGGUUGUAAACCCCUUUCGGCAGGGACGAAGCUUUUGUGACGGUACCUGCAUAAGAAGCACCGGCUAACUACGUG
rnacentral:rRNA from 1 species